rnacentral:rRNA from 1 species
UAGGGAAUCUUCGGCAAUGGGGGGAACCCUGACCGAGCAACGCCGCGUGAGUGAAGAAGGUUUUCGGAUCGUAAAGCUCUGUUGUUAAGGAAGAACGAGUGUGAGAAUGGAAAGUUCAUGCUGUGACGGUACUUAACCAGAAAGGGACGGCUAACUACGUGCCAGCAGCCGCGGUAAUACGUAGGUCCCGAGCGUUGUCCGGAUUUAUUGGUCGUAAAGCGAGCGCAGGCGGUUAGAAAAGUCUGAAGUGAAAGGCAGUGGCUCAACCAUUGUAGGCUUUGGAAACUGUUUAACUUGAGUGCAGAAGGGGAGAGUGGAAUUCCAUGUGUAGCGGUGAAAUGCGUAGAUAUAUGGAGGAACACCAGUGGCGAAGGCGACUCUCUGGUCUGUAACUGACGCUGAGGCUCGAAAGCGUGGGUAGCAAACAGG